AAGGGAAACUUGAGCUAAUACCGGAUGUGCCCUUCGGGGGAAAGAUUUAUCGCCAUUGGAGCGGCCCGCGUCUGAUUAGCUAGUUGGUGGGGUAAAGGCCCACCAAGGCGACGAUCAGUAGCUGGUCUGAGAGGAUGAUCAGCCACAUUGGGACUGAGACACGGCCCAAACUCCUACGGGAGGCAGCAGUGGGGAAUCUUGCGCAAUGGGCGAAAGCCUGACGCAGCCAUGCCGCGUGAAUGAUGAAGGUCUUAGGAUUGUAAAAUUCUUUCACCGGGGACGAUAAUGACGGUACCCGGAGAAGAAGCCCCGGCUAACUUCGUGCCAGCAGCCGCGGUAAUACGAAGGGGGCUAGCGUUGCUCGGAAUUACUGGGCGUAAAGGGAGCGUAGGC
rnacentral:rRNA from 1 species